rnacentral:rRNA from 1 species
GAUGAACGCUAGCUACAGGCUUAACACAUGCAAGUCGAGGGGCGAGCAUGGUCUUAGCUUGCUAAGGCCGAUGGCGACCGGCGCACGGGUGAGUAACACGUAUCCAACCUGCCGUCUACUCUUGGACAGCCUUCUGAAAGGAAGAUUAAUACAAGAUGGCAUCAUGAGUUCACAUGUUCACAUGAUUAAAGGUAUUCCGGUAGACGAUGGGGAUGCGUUCCACUAGAUAGUAGGCGGGGUAACGGCCCACCUAGUCUUCGAUGGAUAGGGGUUCUGAGAGGAAGGUCCCCCACCAUUGGAACUGAGACACGGUCCAAACUCCUACGGGAGGCAGCAGUGAGGAAUAUUGGUCAAUGGACGAGAGUCUGAACCAGCCAAGUAGCGUGAAGGAUGACUGCCCUAUGGGUUGUAAACUUUCUUUUAUACGGGAAUAAAGUGGAGUAUGCAUACCCCUUUUGUAUGUACCGU